GACGAACGCUGGCGGCGUGCUUAACACAUGCAAGUCGAACGGAAAGGCCCUGCUUUUGUGGGGUGCUCGAGUGGCGAACGGGUGAGUAACACGUGAGUAACCUGCCCUGGACUUUGGGAUAACUUCAGGAAACUGGGGCUAAUACCGGAUAGGAGCUCCUGCUGCAUGGUGGGGGUUGGAAAGUUUCGGCGGUUGGGGAUGGACUCGCGGCUUAUCAGCUUGUUGGUGGGGUAGUGGCUUACCAAGGCUUUGACGGGUAGCCGGCCUGAGAGGGUGACCGGCCACAUUGGGCCUGAGAUACGGCCCAGACUCCUACGGGAGGCAGCAGUGGGGAAUAUUGCACAAUGGGCGGAAGCCUGAUGCAGCAACGCCGCGUGCGGGAUGACGGCCUUCGGGUUGUAAACCGCUUUCGCCUGUGACGAAGCGUGAGUGACGGUAAUGGGUAAAGAAGCACCGGCUAACUACGUG
rnacentral:rRNA from 1 species